CUUCUUCCUCCUUAUCAAGAAACAAUAGGCAUUUGGAAGCCAAAAUACAAUCUGUUUAAAUCUUUGAGUAGCAAGAGAAACAGGAACAUCUUUCAAACUAUAGAAAGGCAUACCAUCAAUCUUUCUUGUGACUUCCAGGUGAGCAAACUUUUUCUAGCCCUUUGCCAAGAGGUCCAAGACAGUCAUAAAUAUCGCUUUUCUUCUUGGGUGAGACAUCACUUCUCUUGUCGGGUGACAAUACAGGGCCACCAGAUUCUUUCUUAUGGUGAAUCGUAUCGAUAAGGGCCUCAAACUCUUCCUUUGCACGCUCAAACACGUUAGGACCUUUGAAAUCAUCAAUGGGUGUGUUGGCAUCAAAAUCAUCACUCCUCCCAUGAGUUUCCCUACGGUGCUUAUGUGGAGACUUCAUUCGCUCAGCUCCUUCUUUGUGUUCCUUUCUUACUUCUACUUUUGGUGGCGUCACAUUGUUCUUGCCACCACUUGCAAGGCCACUGGAUUCUUUCUUAGGGUGAAUCGUAUCAAUAAAGGCCUCAAACUCUUCCUUUGCUCGCUCAAAUACGUUGGGACCUUUGAAAUCACCAAUGGGCGUGUUCUCAUCAAAAUCAUCGCUCAUCCCAUGAGUUUCCCUAUGGUGCUUAUAUGGAGACUUCUUUCUGUCCUUUACUUCUCUUUGUUCCCUUGACCCCACACUGUCCUUGCCUGCAGUUAUGCAAUAUGAUUAAUUCAACACACUAUCUAAGCAUGUCAAAGAUAUUUGGAUAGAGAUCAAGAUACAUUAACCAACAACAUAAAAACUACUUUGAAAUUUUUUUAAUUGCAAUAACUAACAGUAAUUAAGAAGUUGAUCCUCCAACGGUGAUAUCUAGUUACACCUGCAAUAGAAAAUAGAUGAUAAAAUUUAUAAUCUUUAGGUGCUUGCCUGAUUGUGUUCUUGAUCAUUCCUCGCCACCAGUGGUGGAGCGAGGAAUUCAACAACCAAAUUCCUAACUCAAAACUGGCUGGACAAAUUUUUCUUUAAACAAAAUAUAUUAAAAAACAAAGUAAAGCAGAAGGAUCUUCCUCAAAUUCAUUAUUAUUAAUUAAAAAGUAAAAAAAAAGUAUGAUUAAUUAUAAUAAAAACAACAAAAUAUGAUAAUGAAAAGAUAAAGCAUACAUUUAUUUAGUCCAAUAAAAUAAAUUGAUAUACAAUAAUAUUAGAAGAAAAUAGUGCAAGUAUGACAUAAAAAAAAUGACAAUUAAAAUCAAUAUAUAACACCAAGUUCUAUGCAUAAAAUGUCCCCUGCCUCUAGGGUGGUCCCACCCUGCUUGAGACCUUGCAUAGUUCUAUCAGUUUUUGAAGAAAGACAGGAAUGUGGCGAUGGACUUGCCCUAAUUGAGGUUUCUAACAUGCAAUUCUCAAGAAAAAAAAAAAAAAAAGAAACAAGUUCUUAUAAAGCUUGGAUUUGAAGCAUUAUGAAAGAAACACAAUGCGCUAAGUUUCUACAAAAACCACUCCCAAUAUUUAUGCUGAAAACAUUAAAUUUCGUCAAAUCAUAUAUAGCCAUAUGCUGCAUUUAUUCUCAGAAUCAUAUACAUCACCAUAAAAAAUCGAAGGAUUUCUCCAGAAACCUGGGAAAGAGNNNNNNNNNNNNNNNNNNNNNNNNNNNNNNNNNNNNNNNNNNNNNNNNNNNNNNNNNNNNNNNNNNNNNNNNNNNNNNNNNNNNNNNNNNNNNNNNNNNNNNNNNNNNNNNNNNNNNNNNNNNNNNNNNNNNNNNNNNNNNNNNNNNNNNNNNNNNNNNNNNNNNNNNNNNNNNNNNNNNNNNNNNNNNNNNNNNNNNNNNNNNNNNNNNNNNNNNNNNNNNNNNNNNNNNNNNNNNNNNNNNNNNNNNNNNNNNNNNNNNNNNCUUUCCAAGACCCACAAGUUCAAUAAAAGCACCCAAUAUUAAUUUGAGUCUCUCAUGACCUCUGUAAUGGAUGGAUUUACAGGACUUGAUCAAAAUAGUUUGUGCAGUGAGAGUGAGCUUGAAGCUCUUUUUGCAGCAGCAAGUGAUGAGAACAUAGCCCAUGAAGUGAGUUUAAAGAAAGAGGCUAUAGUUGUGGUGGAUGAUGAAGAGGUGCCACAGCCUUUGAAGGGUUUGUAUGAAGAUGGGCCCACUCCAUUUAUCAAGAAAAUAUAUGGGAUGGUGGGAGAUGCAGAGACUGAUGGGAUCAUCUCAUGGAGUGAGUCUGGGAUGAGUUUUGUGAUCAGGGAUCAGUACAAGUUCUGUGUGGAGAUUCUGCCCAAGCACUUCAAGCACGCCAACUUUAGUAGCUUUAUUCGCCAACUCAACACUUAUGUCAGUAUCUUUUUUUCUUUUCUCGUGAUUCUUGUUUACAAUAUUCCAACCUGUUGCCCCGCGGGGUGUCAUAUAGUUGAACAGUGGCGUUUAAGGCUGGCUGUCUUGAGGUCACGAGUUCGAUUUCCUGGACACUCCGGGAGUAUGUGGGCUACAUGCUCGAAGCACGAGUGGUCGAGUGUGCUAGUAUGUCCACCUGGAUUAGUCGAGGUGCACGGAAGCCGAUCCCUACACCGGUUUAAAAAAAGAGAAAAAAUAUUCCAACCUGUUACCGUAGUUUUAGUGAUUUUGAUAAGUGUUUUUGUUUAGUAUUGUCCUUUUGGUAUUGUUUGAUUGUUGUGCAUGUAUUGGGACCCUGAAGAAAAUAAUAAUAAUAGAGAAAUUUAGUAAAAUUAAAAUUUUAUAUAUGACGUUUGAGAUUAAUUUUUUGUGUAAGUUAAGCCCCCAUUUAUGAAUUUCUGAAUAUGCCGCUGGCUAGACUUGUGGGUUUGAUGGGUUUUGGUAUUGUUUCAUUGUUGUGCAUGUAUCAGACUUGUUGGUUUCAUGGGUUUUUGGACUUUCGGUAUGAUAAUUGUAACAUGGAUUGUUAGAGCCGGAGCUAAAAGGAAUUAUCGCUAAUUUUGAGCUAUUUGAAAUUUAAUGUAAACGCCCUCUUGCUUAGGGUCCGAACCUGUGCAAAACAGUUUAGGAGGAGACUAGGAGCAGGGUGUGUACACAUCUUUGAAUAUACUUGGUUUAGUUCGUUUUUAUAGGAAAGUUUUGUUUGGCUGAAGUUUUACUUACUCGGUUUUGUUAAAUGGGCACUAAUACUCUCUAAUGUGGCGUUUUGCCUUGUCUUUUUGUGGAAUUUGUUCUAGACAAGGGUCAUUCUUAUUUAACUACCUCUCUAUAACUUCAAGGAGAUCGUGUAUACUAGACUCUAGUGUUGAAUAUGCAAAAAGUGUGUGUGUGUGUGUGUACGCAUCUCAUGUGCUGCGGCGGGUAUAUUUGGUUUUGUUUGAUUUUGUGAGUUAUUCCUCCUUUCCACUAUUAUAGUGUUUCAGUUGGGACAUUUGUGUUAAGUUAUUUGAAUCAUAUAACGGUUAAAUAGCCCUACACUAAAAAAAAAAAUAGCCAACAAGGUGUUGGUGCGGUGGUUGAGGUCUCGUACCCCCUUGCAGGAGUUCAGGAGUUUGACUCCCCGGUGUGCGUGUGUAGUCAAUUAGCAAAAAAAAAGGUUAUUUGAAUCAUUUUGUAAGGUGUAAUCUACUAUAUAUGGAGCUUUGUUGGAUGUAUUUGGUGUUUUUCUUUAAAACUUCACAGUGCUUGCUGCUCUAUAUAUAACUGUUUUUUUCUUUUGCUAUCUUUGUUAAAGAAUUUCAAGAAACUCAGUCUAGAGAGGUGGGAAUACGCCAAUGAAGGCUUUCAGAAAGGAAAAGAUCAUCUGUUAAAGAAUAUUAAGAGGAAGAAACACCAACCUGAUCAACAAGUCCCACAGGAUGGAAAGAAUUCACAACUUUCACUUUAUCACGAGAAUCUUAAAAAGGAAGCAGAACUUGAAAAGUUGAAGAGCGAUACCGAGAAGUUGAGAACUGAACUUCUAAUUAUCCAAAAGGAACAGGAGAGUGCUGAUAAUUAUCUGUUAUCUGUUAAAGAGAGGCUAAUAAGAACCGAACACAAGCAACAGCAGAUGUUCAUUUGCAUGGCAAGAGCAUUUAAGAACCCGCUAUUCAACGAGAUUCUCAUGCAGCAGCUCAGGGAAAAAGAAGCACUGGAUACUGCAGGAACUUCAAAGAAACAAAAGCUGAUUGCUCCCCAGUGCAACAAAAGUCUAGUUGAGGCAAUCUAUUAUGCUGGGGGAAGCCAAGCUAAAGAUGACUUCACAAUGAUUGAUACAGAAGCUCAGAAAGCAUAUUUUCAUAAUGAAGCAAAAAACCCCGUUGUUCAGAGCCAAAAGGUUAAUGAAGUGUUGGCUACAAAACCUUCAGAUAUUGCUUUGGACAAUUGUUUGCUGGUAGAAAAUCUAUUGGCUGAUGACGUGGUCUCUGAGACUAAAGCAGCAACAGAACAAGCAAAUGUUCAUUCAAAAGUUGUUCUUGAGUUGGAAGAAUUGAUCACAAAGGUAAGUGCCAAUUGGGAGGUAUCUAUGAAGGAGAUGGUUGAGCAAGCGGUUUGUCUGCAAUCACAGUUCUAGUUGGUAAGAUCUUUAAUUCUCACCGUAAGUAAACAAUUAAGUAUCUAUAAUUCCUCCAAAAUUGUGUAUGUGAUACUAAAGCAUAAGUAACUUUUUAAGAUGGAUUAGAAUUUAAAAAUAUUUCAGUCUUCAAGCUUGUUGAUCGCGUCCUAUCUGCCCUUUUUCUCGAUACUUUGUCAAAUGGGAACAACUAAUGUUGAGCAAGUCAUAUGCAGAAAAGUGAAAAACAAGAAGAGGCCUGGAUAAAUCCCAACAUAGAUUCUUAUUAGUUUGUUUGCAUAUACUACAACUUGCAUGACAAUUAGAAGUUAUCAAGAUCAUCUGACAUGUCUUAAUUCAUUGAGACUCCUACAAGAAUUCUCAGUUGAUUCCCAUAAUCAAGUAAAAAUGUAUAAUGAGCGGUUUCCUUGGGAGAGGGAGGGGUAUUUGUGAUGCAAACUAAUCUGAUAAAUCUUUCCUGUCAUUCAUGUGCAGGACAUUGGAGAACUAUCGCAUACAAAGAUCUUAAGAUAGUUUUAUAAUUGUUCUUAGAAGAAAUCACAACUCCCAACAACCCCAGGUUUGAGCUUUAUGCUAUUUCGGCCCUUUUGCCUUCCUGGAGGUUUCGCAUUAUGUAGUAGUUAGAAUAUAGUGUGGUUAUGUACAUAAACUUUGUAAUUUUCUUUUGUGAUUCUCAGUUUUCUAAAGUGUUUUUUAAGGUUCCUUUUGUUCUUUUAUCAUAAAGACCGUUCUCUGGUAGUUAUAAAAUCAUAAUACUUUCAAAUAUUACGACAUUUGCUCUUCAGGAUCAUUGCUUAUUUUCAGCUCCUUGCUAAUAACGCUUUUUAUUACACAUUCAAUGCAACUUUUGAAUCCUAAACUGAAGCUGCCCGCUUGUUAUAUACGCUCACAGAAACCUCAGGCGAUGUAUCCUCCAUUCCUCCAUUUUACGCGCAGACCUGUCUGAGAGGUUGCACGUUUGCCACUGCAGUUGUUGCAAGUCUGCAUAACCUCCCACCCAUGUAUAAACUCUAGACAGGCAAUAUAGCUGUCCUGCAUCUACUAAUUCCACUAUAAUGCAACUCAAUUUAAGAAAGAUGUGAUUAUAAAUAAAUCUCACACUAUAUUAAUGCAGGUAUCAACUGACAACAUUUGUGAUUUAAACUGAAGAGUACAAAGGCUUCUUCCUCCUUAUCAAGAAACAAUAGGCAUUUGGAAGCCAAAAUACAAUCUGUUUAAAUCUUUGAGUAGCAAGAGAAACAGGAACAUCUUUCAAACUAUAGAAAGGCAUACCAUCAAUCUUUCUUGUGACUUCCAGGUGAGCAAACUUUUUCUAGCCCUUUGCCAAGAGGUCCAAGACAGUCAUAAAUAUCGCUUUUCUUCUUGGGUGAGACAUCACUUCUCUUGUCGGGUGACAAUACAGGGCCACCAGAUUCUUUCUUAUGGUGAAUCGUAUCGAUAAGGGCCUCAAACUCUUCCUUUGCACGCUCAAACACGUUAGGACCUUUGAAAUCAU
rnacentral:lncRNA from 1 species